AGCGAAAGCAUCAUAGCUACGAAGUGUGUCACAUUCUGCUCGAUGUAUCUUGAUGAUAUUGAAACUAGAUUCAAUCAUGUAGAUUGUAAUGCAAACCAUGAAUGGGAUGACGAUGAGCCGACACUGUUCAUAUUUAAAUAAAUGGUUUGACUCAUGGGUAAAAGGAGAUAUGAGUUUAUCGAUGUGAAUGAGCUAUCCAAGGCAUACUUUUAUAUUCUAAAUAAUUAUAAAAAAAUUAAAAAUUUUAUUAAGUAAGUACUAUCUUAGCAUACUUUUUAGUAUUCUAACUAAUUUUUUUAUAUCAAUGUAAAAUUAAAAAUAUGAUUUGUUGCAGUGAGCACAAAGGGUACUAUCCAGGAAGAAUAAUA
rnacentral:lncRNA from 1 species